GGUUAAGCGACUAAGCGUACACGGUGGAUGCCCUGGCAGUCAGAGGCGAUGAAGGACGUGCUAAUCUGCGAAAAGCGUCGGUAAGGUGAUAUGAACCGUUAUAACCGGCGAUGUCCGAAUGGGGAAACCCAGUGUGAUUCGUCACACUAUCGUUAACUGAAUACAUAGGUUAACGAGGCGAACCGGGGGAACUGAAACAUCUAAGUACCCCGAGGAAAAGAAAUCAACCGAGAUUCCCCCAGUAGCGGCGAGCGAACGGGGAGCAGCCCAGAGUCUGAAUCAGCUUGUGUGUUAGUGGAACGGUCUGGAAAGUCCGACGGUACAGGGUGAUAGUCCCGUACACCAAAAUGCACAGGUUGUGAACUCGAAGAGUAGGGCGGGACACGUGGUAUCCUGUCUGAAUAUGGGGGGACCAUCCUCCAAGGCUAAAUACUCCUGACUGACCGAUAGUGAACCAGUACCGUGAGGGAAAGGCGAAAAGAACCCCGGCGAGGGGAGUGAAAAAGAACCUGAAACCGUGUACGUACAAGCAGUGGGAGCACCUUCGGGUGUGACUGCGUACCUUUUGUAUAAUGGGUCAGCGACUUAUAUUCUGUAGCAAGGUUAACCGUAUAGGGGAGCCGCAGGGAAACCGAGUCUUAACUGGGCGUUAAGUUGCAGGGUAUAGACCCGAAACCCGGUGAUCUAGCCAUGGGCAGGUUGAAGGUUGGGUAACACUAACUGGAGGACCGAACCGACUAAUGUUGAAAAAUUAGCGGAUGACUUGUGGCUGGGGGUGAAAGGCCAAUCAAACCGGGAGAUAGCUGGUUCUCCCCGAAAGCUAUUUAGGUAGCGCCUCGUGAACUCAUCUUCGGGGGUAGAGCACUGUUUCGGCUAGGGGGUCAUCCCGACUUACCAACCCGAUGCAAACUACGAAUACCGAAGAAUGUUAUCACGGGAGACACACGGCGGGUGCUAACGUCCGUCGUGAAGAGGGAAACAACCCAGACCGCCAGCUAAGGUCCCAAAGUCAUGGUUAAGUGGGAAACGAUGUGGGAAGGCACAGACAGCCAGGAUGUUGGCUUAGAAGCAGCCAUCAUUUAAAGAAAGCGUAAUAGCUCACUGGUCGAGUCGGCCUGCGCGGAAGAUGUAACGGGGCUAAACCAUGCACCGAAGCUGCGGCAGCGACACUAUGUGUUGUUGGGUAGGGGAGCGUUCUGUAAGCCUGCGAAGGUGUGCUGUGAGGCAUGCUGGAGGUAUCAGAAGUGCGAAUGCUGACAUAAGUAACGAUAAAGCGGGUGAAAAGCCCGCUCGCCGGAAGACCAAGGGUUCCUGUCCAACGUUAAUCGGGGCAGGGUGAGUCGACCCCUAAGGCGAGGCCGAAAGGCGUAGUCGAUGGGAAACAGGUUAAUAUUCCUGUACUUGGUGUUACUGCGAAGGGGGGACGGAGAAGGCUAUGUUAGCCGGGCGACGGUUGUCCCGGUUUAAGCAUGUAGGCUGGUUGUCCAGGCAAAUCCGGAUAAUCAAGGCUGAGGUGUGAUGACGAGGCACUACGGUGCUGAAGUAACAAAUGCCCUGCUUCCAGGAAAAGCCUCUAAGCAUCAGGUAACAUCAAAUCGUACCCCAAACCGACACAGGUGGUCAGGUAGAGAAUACCAAGGCGCUUGAGAGAACUCGGGUGAAGGAACUAGGCAAAAUGGUGCCGUAACUUCGGGAGAAGGCACGCUGGUGUGUAGGUGAAGUCCCUGCGGAUGGAGCUGAGACCAGUCGAAGAUACCAGCUGGCUGCAACUGUUUAUUAAAAACACAGCACUGUGCAAACACGAAAGUGGACGUAUACGGUGUGACGCCUGCCCGGUGCCGGAAGGUUAAUUGAUGGGGUUAUCCGUAAGGAGAAGCUCUUGAUCGAAGCCCCGGUAAACGGCGGCCGUAACUAUAACGGUCCUAAGGUAGCGAAAUUCCUUGUCGGGUAAGUUCCGACCUGCACGAAUGGCGUAAUGAUGGCCAGGCUGUCUCCACCCGAGACUCAGUGAAAUUGAACUCGCUGUGAAGAUGCAGUGUACCCGCGGCAAGACGGAAAGACCCCGUGAACCUUUACUAUAGCUUGACACUGAACAUUGAGCCUUGAUGUGUAGGAUAGGUGGGAGGCUUUGAAGCGUGGACGCCAGUCUGCGUGGAGCCAACCUUGAAAUACCACCCUUUAAUGUUUGAUGUUCUAACGUUGGCCCCUUACCGGGGUUGCGGACAGUGUCUGGUGGGUAGUUUGACUGGGGCGGUCUCCUCCCAAAGCGUAACGGAGGAGCACGAAGGUUAGCUAAUCCUGGUCGGACAUCAGGAGGUUAGUGCAAUGGCAUAAGCUAGCUUGACUGCGAGCGUGACGGCGCGAGCAGGUGCGAAAGCAGGUCAUAGUGAUCCGGUGGUUCUGAAUGGAAGGGCCAUCGCUCAACGGAUAAAAGGUACUCCGGGGAUAACAGGCUGAUACCGCCCAAGAGUUCAUAUCGACGGCGGUGUUUGGCACCUCGAUGUCGGCUCAUCACAUCCUGGGGCUGAAGUAGGUCCCAAGGGUAUGGCUGUUCGCCAUUUAAAGUGGUACGCGAGCUGGGUUUAGAACGUCGUGAGACAGUUCGGUCCCUAUCUGCCGUGGGCGCUGGAGAAUUGAGGGGGGCUGCUCCUAGUACGAGAGGACCGGAGUGGACGCAUCACUGGUGUUCGGGUUGUCAUGCCAAUGGCACUGCCCGGUAGCUAAAUGCGGAAGAGAUAAGUGCUGAAAGCAUCUAAGCACGAAACUUGCCCCGAGAUGAGUUCUCCCUGAGACUUUAAGUCUCCUGAAGGAACGUUAAAGACGAUGACGUUGAUAGGCCGGGUGUGUAAGCGCAGCGAUGCGUUGAGCUAACCGGUACUAAUGAACCGUGAGGCUUAACCUUACAACGCCGAAGAUGUUUUG
rnacentral:rRNA from 1 species